AAGGUUGGCUAAGCAUGGUCGGACAUCAUGCGGUUAGUGCAAAGGCAUAAGCCAGCUUGACUGCGAGAGUGACGGCUCGAGCAGGUACGAAAGUAGGUCUUAGUGAUCCGGUGGUUCUGAAUGGAAGGGCCAUCGCUCAACGGAUAAAAGGUACUCCGGGGAUAACAGGCUGAUACCGCCCAAGAGUUCAUAUCGACGGCGGUGUUUGGCACCUCGAUGUCGGCUCAUCACAUCCUGGGGCUGAAGUAGGUCCCAAGGGUACGGCUGUUCGCCGUUUAAAGUGGUACGCGAGCUGGGUUUAGAACGUCGUGAGACAGUUCGGUCCCUAUCUGCCGUGGGCGUUGGAAGAUUGAAAGGGGCUGCUCCUAGUACGAGAGGACCGGAGUGGACGCACCACUGGUGUUCGGGUUGUCAUGCCAAUGGCAUUGCCCGGUAGCUAAGUGCGGAAGAGAUAACCGCUGAAAGCAUCUAAGCGGGAAACUUGCCUUGAGAUG
rnacentral:rRNA from 1 species